rfam:Picea glauca, whole genome shotgun sequence.
AAUGUAAUACAUACAACGCUAAUGCAUAUAAUCCCUUUAAAACGCCAUAGUUAAUCGUGCUUGGGAUAGAGUAGUAUUGGGAUGGGUGACCUCCCAGGAAGUCUUAGUGUUUUAUAUGC